AUGAACGCUAGCUACAGGCUUAACACAUGCAAGUCGAGGGGCAGCAUGAACUUAGCUUGCUAAGUUUGAUGGCGACCGGCGCACGGGUGAGUAACACGUAUCCAACCUGCCGAUGACUCGGGGAUAGCCUUUCGAAAGAAAGAUUAAUACCCGAUGGCAUAGUUCUUCCGCAUGGUAGAACUAUUAAAGAAUUUCGGUCAUCGAUGGGGAUGCGUUCCAUUAGGUUGUUGGCGGGGUAACGGCCCACCAAGCCUUCGAUGGAUAGGGGUUCUGAGAGGAAGGUCCCCCACAUUGGAACUGAGACACGGUCCAAACUCCUACGGGAGGCAGCAGUGAGGAAUAUUGGUCAAUGGACGAGAGUCUGAACCAGCCAAGUAGCGUGAAGGAUGACUGCCCUAUGGGUUGUAAACUUCUUUUAUACGGGAAUAAAGUGAGGCACGUGUGCCUUUUUGUAUGUACCGUAUGAAUAAGGAUCGGCUAACUCCGUGCCAGCAGCCGCGGUAAUACGGAGGAUCCGAGCGUUAUCCGGAUUUAUUGGGUUUAAAGGGAGCGUAGGCGGACGCUUAAGUCAGUUGUGAAAGUUUGCGGCUCAACCGUAAAAUUGCAGUUGAUACUGGGUGUCUUGAGUACAGUAGAGGCAGGCGGAAUUCGUGGUGUAGCGGUGAAAUGCUUAGAUAUCACGAAGAACUCCGAUUGCGAAGGCAGCUUGCUGGACUGUAACUGACGCUGAUGCUCGAAAGUGUGGGUAUCAAACAGGAUUAGAUACCCUGGUAGUCCACACAGUAAACGAUGAAUACUCGCUGUUUGCGAUAUACAGUAAGCGGCCAAGCGAAAGCGUUAAGUAUUCCACCUGGGGAGUACGCCGGCAACGGUGAAACUCAAAGGAAUUGACGGGGGCCCGCACAAGCGGAGGAACAUGUGGUUUAAUUCGAUGAUACGCGAGGAACCUUACCCGGGCUUGAAUUGCAACUGAAUGAUGUGGAGACAUGUCAGCCGCAAGGCAGUUGUGAAGGUGCUGCAUGGUUGUCGUCAGCUCGUGUCGUGAGAUGUUGGGUUAAGUCCCGCAACGAGCGCAACCCUUAUGGUCAGUUACUACGCAAGAGGACUCUGGCCAGACUGCCGUUGACAAAACGGAGGAAGGUGGGGAUGACGUCAAAUCAGCACGGCCCUUACGUCCGGGGCUACACACGUGUUACAAUGGGGGGUACAGAAGGCAGCUACACGGCGACGUGAUGCUAAUCCCGAAAGCCUCUCUCAGUUCGGAUUGGAGUCUGCAACCCGACUCCAUGAAGCUGGAUUCGCUAGUAAUCGCGCAUCAGCCACGGCGCGGUGAAUACGUUCCCGGGCCUUGUACACACCGCCCGUCAAGCCAUGAAAGCCGGGGGUACCUGAAGUGCGUAACCGCAAGGAGCGCCCUAGGGUAAAACUGGUGAUUGGGGCU
rnacentral:rRNA from 1 species